CACCACUCAAGCCUAGCUUGGUAUUGGGCGUCGCGGUGUUCCCGCGCGCCUUAAAGUCUUCCGGCUGAGCUGUCCGUCUCUAAGCGUUGUGAUACAUAUUCGCUUCGGAGGGCGGGUGGCCGCGGCCGUUAAAUCUUUCACAA
rnacentral:misc_RNA from 1 species